rnacentral:rRNA from 1 species
AGCAGCCGCGGUAAUUCCAGCUCCAAUAGCGUAUAUUAAAGUUGUUGCAGUUAAAAAGCUCGUAGUUGAACUUCAGGCCUGGCUGGACGGUCCGCCUUCCGGGCGAGUACUGUCUGUGGUCGGGUCCUACCUUCUGGCGAAGCGUCAUGGCCUUAACCGGCCGUGGCGGGGAACCAGGACUUUUACUGUGAAAAAUUAGAGUGUUCAAAGCAGGCAAUUUCGCUUGGAUACAUUAGCAUGGAAUAAUGGAAUAGGACAAUGGUUCUAUUUGUUGGUUUCUAGGACUGUUGUAAUGAUUAAUAGGGAUAGUUGGGGGCAUUAGUAUUCAAUUGUCAGAGGUGAAAUUCUUGGAUUUAUUGAAGACUAACUACUGCGAAAGCAUUUGCCAAGGAUGUUUUCAUUAAUCAAGAACGAAAGUUAGGGGAUCGAAGACGAUCAGAUACCGUCGUAGUCUUAACCAUAAACUAUG